rnacentral:rRNA from 1 species
GAUGAACGCUAGCGACAGGCCUAACACAUGCAAGUCGAGGGGCAGCACAUGAGUAGCAAUACGAUGGUGGCGACCGGCGCACGGGUGAGUAACACGUAUGCAACCUGCCUUCUACUAUGGGAUAACCCGUUGAAAGACGGACUAAUACCGUAUAAUACAGGGGCUCCGCAUGGAGAUAUUUGUUAAAGAUUUAUUGGUAGAAGAUGGGCAUGCGUAUGAUUAGAUAGUUGGUGAGGUAACGGCUCACCAAGUCAACGAUCAUUAGGGGUUCUGAGAGGAAGGUCCCCCACACUGGUACUGAGACACGGACCAGACGCCUACUGGAGGCAGCAGUGAGGAAGAUUGGUCAAUGGACGAGAGUCUGAACCAGCCAAGUCGCGUGAAGGAAGACGGCUCUAUGAAUUGUAAACUUCUUUUGUGCAGGAAUAAAGUGGGUUACGUGUAACCUUUUGUAUGUACUGUACGAAUAAGGAUCGGCUAACUCCGUGCCAGCAGCCGCCGUAAUAC